UACGAGGGGGGCAAGCGUUGUUCGGAAUUAUUGGGCGUAAAGGGCGCGUAGGCGGCGCCACAAGUCACUUGUGACACCUCUGGGCUCACCUCAGAGCCUGCAAGCGAAACUGUGGUGCUGGAGUAUGGGAGAGGUGAGUGGAAUUCCCGGUGUAGCGGUGAAAUGCGUAGAGAUCGGGAGGAACACCUGUGGCGAAAGCAGCGCACUGGACCAUAACUGACGCUGAGGCGCGAAAGCGAGGGGAGCAAACAGG
rnacentral:rRNA from 1 species